GAUGAACGCUGGCGGCGUGCCUAAUACAUGCAAGUCGAGCGAAUGGAUUAAGAGCUUGCUCUUAUGAAGUUAGCGGCGGACGGGUGAGUAACACGUGGGUAACCUGCCCAUAAGACUGGGAUAACUCCGGGAAACCGGGGCUAAUACCGGAUAACAUUUUGAACCGCAUGGUUCGAAAUUGAAAGGCGGCUUCGGCUGUGACGUAUGGAUGGACCCGCGUCGCAUUAGCUAGUUGGUGAGGUAACGGCUCACCAAGGCAACGAUGCGAAGCCGACCUGAGAGGGUGAUCGGCCACACUGGGACUGAGACACGGCCCAGACCCCUACGGGAGGCAGCAGUAGGGAAUCUUCCGCAAUGGACGAAAGUCUGACGGAGCAACGCCGCGUGAGUGAUGAAGGCUUUCGGGUCGUAAAACUCUGUUGUUAGGGAAGAACAAGUGCUAGUUGAAUAAGCUGGCACCUUGACGGUACCUAACCAGAAAGCCACGGCUAACUACGUGCCAGCCGCCGCGGUAA
rnacentral:rRNA from 1 species